rnacentral:rRNA from 1 species
CGGGGUGGAGUAAUGUCUGGGAAACUGCCUGAUGGAGGGGGAUAACUGCUGGAAACGGUAGCUAAUACCGCAUAACGUCGCAAGACCAAAGAGGGGACCUUCGGGCCUCUUGCCAUCGGAUGUGCCCAGAUGGGAUUAGCUAGUAGGUGGGGUAACGGCUCACCUAGGCGACGAUCCCUAGCUGGUCUGAGAGGAUGACCAGCCACACUGGAACUGAGACACGGUCCAG